rnacentral:rRNA from 1 species
GAUGAACGCUAGCGGCAGGCCUAACACAUGCAAGUCGAGGGAGAAGCCCUUCGGGGCAGAAACCGGCGCACGGGUGCGUAACGCGUAUGCAACCUACCUUUCACAGGGGGAUAGCCCGAAGAAAUUUGGAUUAAUACCCCAUAAUAUUAUUGGAUGGCAUCAUUUGAUAAUUAAAAUUACGAUGGUGAAAGAUGGGCAUGCGUCCUAUUAGCUAGUUGGAGUGGUAACGGCACCCCAAGGCUACGAUAGGUAGGGGUCCUGAGAGGGAGAUCCCCCACACUGGUACUGAGACAGGGACCAGACUCCUACGGGAGGCAGCAGUGAGGAAUAUUGGUCAAUGGUCGGAAGACUGAACCAGCCAUGCCGCGUGCAGGAAGAAUGCCUUAUGGGUUGUAAACUGCUUUUAUAUGGGAAGAAUAAGGAGUACGUGUACUUUGGUGACGGUACCAUAUGAAAGCUUCG